UUCUAUUGUAAUUUCUUCCCGGGACCAUCCAGCUUUAAGCAAAUUUAGGACCACCUCAUUGACGAUGUUGCCUCUAAGGUUACUGAAAGAGAUAAGAGCUUGUUAACAGAUUUCUCUAUUUUUAUAUUUAGCUUCCGAAUGGGCUGCUUGACCACUGAAGCCGAUGCAUCGGUGCCUGGAAGGAUGUAACUUGAGGGUCUUGGGCCUUCUCUCUCCCAGGAGAUCUUGUCAUAACCCAAAGCAUGUGCCUGCAUCCUGUGAGCUGGAGGCCCCCAGUACAGGGGAAGAGCUGAGUGGGUUCUCUCCCUGCCUCCUUCCACAGUCUAGAGGCCAAGCAGCUGCCACCCGACUCUGCACUGCUGCAGGAAGGCCUGCCAGGCCACACAGGAGUGGCCAAAACUGCAUCAGCCGAGGCAAGACCCGACUGCCAUCUUUUUUGCGGGUCCACAUUGAAACAAGAUCUGCCUUCCACAGCUCACCCCUUCACACACUCCAAGCUUGGAUGAAAAUCAGCAACACUUCCCCAACCACACACUUCCCUGUCCUCACAGUGUGUGCUCUGCAGCCUGGGAAACCCUCUGGCAAGCAAGUGCUGGCUGGGGAAGGGUGUGGGGGAAGAAAUUGACUUCCACCGAGUCUGCAACAAGCUGUUGUGAAGCGUUCAAGUUGGACCAACAGGGGCCCCAGCCUGACUGCUGACUGAUGUAGGGCUCUCCCAGGUGAAGCCUCCAUUAAAAGAUGGAGUUGGACAAGUUACUUCUAAGUUUAAUUCCUGCAAAACCAUUUAAACAAAAGCACAGAAAAAGCAGUGUGGCGAAGUGACUGGGUCUGCCGUGGUAGUGCUGCCAAUCUCACUAUGGUACUCAGAAUGUGAUUCACUCAACACGUUAUGCCCUGAAUUUCAAGCCAGUGACUUCCUCUCAUGAUCAGAGAAGCAGCAGACCAUCUAUGGCUGGAGGAAGAACUGGCCAUGUUGGACUUAGUGGGAGACCGUGCCUUCCUUGGGAAUUUCCAACAAUAGUUGGCACUUGAUUUCAACUAAUGGACUGACUGGGAAACUGAAUGUCCUUCGAAGGGGGAACUCUCAGUGUAUGAGCGGUCCCUCCCUGGACAGUCUGGGGGAGCCUCCCAAUCCUACAGAGCCACGCCCUAAGGGUGGAGGGCGAGAAGAGGGACACUGCUGUGGCUCCAGGCUGGCCUGUGAGUUAAUUAGCCAGCCUGUGCUGGGGGGGUCAGAGUCCCCCAAAAGUGCCUUGGGGGUAGAAUUAGGCAGGAGCAGGGAGACCUUAGGCUUCCCACCCUGCUUCCACCCAAGCAGCGAGGCUUCCAUUUUCUCUAUCAGAGUUUGUGUUGGUUUGUCCUGAGGAAGAGCAUCUGUAGCCUGGGAGAGCAUGGAAACCCUCCCCCACCCACUAAUAUGCUCCCCUCAUCUAGCCCUCCUGACUGCUGUUCCUCAGACCUCAUCUCACCUGAGAAAAAGAAAGAUGGUUCUUGGGGACUUGGCCCUGUGGCCCUCAGGGACCUGGCGUUCCAAGUAUGGCCUAAGGACCUCCAGUAGCCCCGGGUGCAGCUUCUCAGCCUCGUCGAAGAUGAACAGGGUCUGGGGGCAGAGCUGCUGCGUCUCCUGCAUCUGGCCCAGCAGCUGCUCCUGCAGGGGAUACAGGGAGCUGCUGGGAACUGGUGGACACAGUUCCACCCCCAGCCUGAGGGCGUGGCUUCUGCAGCAGAUUGCUAGUGGCCCGGUUUCACCCCACCCCCCCAGAACUGCCAAAUCCAAACCUCUGGGGACAGAGCUAGGCCAUUGCAUGUAACAAGUUUCACAGGUGAUUUCUCAUGCACUCUGAGGUUUGAAAGCCAAACGAGGUGGAGCUAGCCUGGGUGGAGGGAGAAGGCCUCUGGCCUUCGGAAAAGGUCCCAGCUGCAGCCUGUUCUCUCCUCUCCAGGACUAGGUCCCAUCUCGGAACUAACUGCCAACUCAUCUGCCCCAGAGGGUAGGAGUCAGGCUUUAAUCUAGGGGUGAUGGGCAGAGAGGUUCAUGUGCCCAGAGGUAGCCACAGUCCCCUGGCCUGAACUCCCAGGAACAAAAAGUGCCCACUGGCACCGUGGCUGGGCUGAGAUCUCAGGGGAGCAAGCCUGUUGAGGGCCUGUCUGGGGCCCAGCCAACCCGCAACUUAGGGGCCCCCACAGGGGGCUGUGCUGAAUCCCCCAGAAAAGACACUGAACGUUGAAAACAUGGUUAUUUGCAGUGUUCAUCAGAACUGGGCAAGUAAUAUAUUACUUGGGGCCAACUCUCACCCCAGAGCCCACACUCCCUGUCCAGGGACUCUGACUUCAGCUCCCAGGCACCCAAGUGCUUGAGUAUGAGAGUGUGUGUGUGUCACUUUUCACAGUGGAGAUGCUUAGAUCCACAGCAGUUUUGCCACCGUCAGAGCCAGACAGUUCUUCCUGCGAAGGCCCAGCUGACCGGCAUCCUGACUUUAAGACAGCUGGGCUUCAGGGCAGUUCCCCCGGCCCCUGCCCUCUAAGGCCAUACUGAAACUGCCAGGAGACUCCAUCCUCAAAGGCUUGUAUAAUCUUCUGGAAAGCCAAAGAGAGGUGCAGUCAUCUCUGUCAUGCUGCAAUGGGGGUUUGGUCAUCUUCUGGAGAAUUUUAAAUACCAUGUGUCUGCAUUGGAAGAAACCCAAAAUAGGGGAACAGCAAAGGAAAUUUCUGUCCAUCUGCUUGCUGCUAUAUAAUCAGCAGAUAUAGGAGGACAUGGAAAAUCACUUACGACAUGAAGUGCCUAUUUUUUUUUAAAAGGCAGGAUGUGCAACUUUCUGUCCAUUAUAAUAAUUACAGUGACAUAAACAGCAUGGGGAAAGUUUGACAACAAAGGAAGUAUACUAAAAAUGCUGGUAUUGUUAGGUUAGUUCCAGGUGGGAACCUGAAAAGUAUGUAUAGGACAAAAUACAGUUAAUGUAAAACUUAAGCUUAUAAAACAACAGCAGCAGGAGUCUGGAGAGUCCCCAGAUAUUGUAAAUCUAGCAGACAGCUCCAGCCAGCACUCCUUCCCCUGCUCCCGUAGGGACAAGUUUACCCCUCCCUCUCUCUCCUGAUGAGGACGACAACGGAGCUGCAGGAUAGACAUCACUGGGGCAGGGGUCCUAGGAGCUGGUGGUUUGAAAAAGAAUUAAUCACAAGCAGCUGUUCUGGCCACUUACUCCCCCCGAGAAACCCUCUAUAAAACCCAAGGCUCUCCCCUUUUCUCUCGUAGACACUUUUUCGCCUCCACCCAUCUGCACCCAGAUGCUCAAAAUAAACAGUAUUUGCUACACGUGAGGCGUCGUGUGUGUUUCUCUCUGGGCUCCAGACCUAGCAGUUAUUAGCUAACAAGA